UUCAAUUUUUGACUCUUCGUCUUAUUUAAAUUUUUUUGCGAUUGAUAUUUUUAUUUUUAUUAGAUGAUGAAUCAUGAAUAGUACUUUACGUGUGACUAAUUUUUUUUCUAAUUUUCUAAAUUUUUUUUAAAUAAGACGAAUAUUCAAACGUUGGGCAUGGAAACCGAAG
rnacentral:pre_miRNA from 1 species